rnacentral:rRNA from 1 species
GUGAGUAACACGUGGGUGAUCUGCCCUGCACUUUGGGAUAAGCCUGGGAAACUGGGUCUAAUACCGAAUAUGACCGCGCUCUUCAUGGGGUGUGGUGGAAAGCUUUUGCGGUGUGGGAUGGGCCCGCGGCCUAUCAGCUUGUUGGUGGGGUAAUGGCCUACCAAGGCGACGACGGGUAGCCGGCCUGAGAGGGUGACCGGCCACACUGGGACUGAGAUACGGCCCAGACUCCUACGGGAGGCAGCAGUGGGGAAUAUUGCACAAUGGGCGCAAGCCUGAUGCAGCGACGCCGCGUGAGGGAUGACGGCCUUCGGGUUGUAAACCUCUUUCAAUAGGGACGAAGCGCAAGUGACGGUACCUAUAGAAGAAGGACCGGCCAACUACGUGCCAGCAGCCGCGGUAAUACGUAGGGUCCGAGCGUUGUCCGGAAUUACUGGGCGUAAAGAGCUCGUAGGUGGUUUGUCGCGUUGUUCGUGAAAACUCACAGCUUAACUGUGGGCGUGCGGGCGAUACGGGCAGACUAGAGUACUGCAGGGGAGACUGGAAUUCCUGGUGUAGCGGUGGAAUGCGCAGAUAUCAGGAGGAACACCGGUGGCGAAGGCGGGUCUCUGGGCAGUAACUGACGCUGAGGAGCGAAAGCGUGGGGAGCGAACAGGAUUAGAUACCCUGGUAGUCCACGCCGUAAACGGUG